UGGCAUUUUUAUUAAGUUCACUUUGACAUCAUUACAGGGACCACAAGUUUUCCUGUUUGCAUCCAAAAGCUCCCACAUAUUAACUUAAUUCAAAACUAACAAACUGAAUGUAGAUGUUAGUCAUCACAUCUAGUCUUCAAGAGUCCAAAGCAAAAAGAAUGUGAUCUCCGUCAACCCUUCUCAGAGAGAAACACAGGAAAGAAGAAACAGCAAACAUGCCAAGGUACUACAGGAAUAAGUAAAAAAAAAAAAAAUUCUAAUAUUAAACUGAACCUCAGAAGAGAAGAAAACGGAUAAUAAGACGAAGAACCUAAACAGAGAGGUUUGCAUCUAUUAAAAAAUUAGUUAUAUAGUCAUAAUUUACCCUUAAACGCAAAGAAAACAAUGUGGUAAUGCAAACUGUCAAGAGCUUGACCUGUUCUUCGAAAGCAACACCGCACAUGUGAUCUCGACUGUAGAACAUGCUAGUUAAGCAACACAAUGACAAGACACUUCCGUCUGAAUCUGAUCAUGUGUGUGAACAUGCAUACGACACAAAAAGGGUGAGAGAGAGAGAGAGAGAGAAAAUCAUGUACAGCAAAUCAAAGUAUAUUAGAAAGGGGCAAUAAUCAUAGAACAAACUUUUAAAAUGUGAUGGAACGUGUUAGUGUUAAACCUUCAAUUUUCCAAUUUGGACAUGCUUCCAACUGCAUCAGCUGGAAUGUUAAGCGAACAAUGCAAUAAAACCAUCAGGAGCUGACAGACUAUGCAGUAACAAAAGCAACAAUAUGACUGUAACUUGAUAUAUGGUAGAUAAUCCAUUUAUCACGUCGUAACUGUGCGCAUAAAUGCAUUUGAGUAGUUUUUGCGCGGACUGACGCUGCUUUUAAAACACAGCGGCCCAACCUGAAGCUAUUUUUACUACGCUACCCCUUCCCUUUCAGAAAUAAACUCACCCUUGUAGUUGUAUCCUAAAAGCCAACCGUGUUUACAGUGGGGUUUCGACUUAAGGAAAAACAGUGUUACCACAUGUGAUUAGUAAGUGUAAUUAUCCAGCUUAAAUAAUCGUUCUUUGCAGCCUUUUAAAAUAUUUAAACCUCUUCAGUGCCCAAGGUGGUAAACGAUGCCCCAAAAUGCUGACAAAAAAAACGUACUUAGUCUUACUUUUCUAAAUUACAUGAAUUAUGGGCGCUGGCCCCGUUUCAACAAAAAUCGAUGACUUGUGGGGCCAACAUCACAUCAAGCAGAAAGUUAUUGCCUUUCUCUCCUAUAUUCUGGUGCUCUGACGAUCCUAUACAUAAAACUCAAUCUUAAGGUUAUUCAUAUUUAUUGUUACGAAGCCAAUGUCAGACAGGGGACUUAAAGCAGCCAUCCUAAUCGAGAUAUAAUAUAAUAACUAUUAUUUGAAGAGUAAUAACAAUAACAUUUACAUGUGAUCUCAACUCAGAUGACUGAGUGCGAGAGAGGUGCGAAAGAGACAAAUAUAAGAGCUGUAUAUUUGUUUUUUUUAAAUAUAAAAAGCAACACUAACUACUUCACAGCAAAGAGCCUGUUGUAAUCGAACUAUAUAUACAUACACAAUUUAAAAUUGCGCCAAUAACAGGAAGGAGAGUGAACUAGACCGAAUUAUCACUGCUGGUAGCGUCCCGAUCCAUCCUGACUGAUCAAAACGUGCAAGUCUAGAAAUGUUCAGUGCAUUUCAGACGAAUACGUACACAUUUUUCGAAGCACAAAGAGGGGGGAAAGUAUGUUUCAUAAAGUUCUCUAUUUU